AUUCUGCCCAUGCGGGGAAGGAUGAGAAGCUUCGACCAAGGUUCGACUCGAGCGCCAGCGAGAGAGCGUUGCCGCAGGCAACGACCCGAAGGGCGAAGCGCGCAGCGCUGAGUA
rnacentral:sRNA from 2 species